rnacentral:rRNA from 1 species
AUGAACGCUGGCGGCGUGCCUAAUACAUGCAAGUAGAACGCUGAAGCUUGGUGCUUGCACCGAGCGGAUGAGUUGCGAACGGGUGAGUAACGCGUAGGUAACCUGCCUCUUAGCGGGGGAUAACUAUUGGAAACGAUAGCUAAUACCGCAUAAAAGUCGAUAUCGCAUGAUAUUGAUUUGAAAGGUGCAAAUGCAUCACUAAGAGAUGGACCUGCGUUGUAUUAGCUAGUUGGUGAGGUAACGGCUCACCAAGGCGACGAUACAUAGCCGACCUGAGAGGGUGAUCGGCCACACUGGGACUGAGACACGGCCCAGACUCCUACGGGAGGCAGCAGUAGGGAAUCUUCGGCAAUGGGGGCAACCCUGACCGAGCAACGCCGCGUGAGUGAAGAAGGUUUUCGGAUCGUAAAGCUCUGUUGUAAGAGAAGAACGAGUGUGAGAGUGGAAAGUUCACACUGUGACGGUAACUGACCAGAAAGGGACGGCUAACUACGUG